rnacentral:rRNA from 1 species
GAUGAACGCUGGCGGCGUGCCUAAUACAUGCCAGUCGAGCGAACGGACGAGAAGCUUGCUUCUCUGAUGUUAGCGGCGGACGGGUGAGUAACACGUGGAUAACCUACCUAUAAGACUGGGAUAACUUCGGAAACCGGAGCAAAUCCCGGAUGAUAUUCUGAACCGCAUGGUUCAAAAGUAAAAGACGGUCUUGCUGUCACUUAUAGACGGAUCCGCGCUGUAUUAGCUAGUUGGUAAGGUAACGGCUUACCAAGGCAACGAUGCAUAGCCGACCUGAGAGGGUGAUCGGCCACACUGGAACUGAGACACGGUCCAGACUCCUACGGGAGGCAGCAGUAGGGAACCUUCCGCAAUGGGCGAAAGCCUGACGGAGCAACGCCGCGUGAGUGAUGAAGGUCUUCGGAUCGUAAAACUCUGUUAUUAGGGAAGAACAGAUGUGGAAGUAACUGUGCACAUCUUGACGGUACCGAAUCAGAAAGCCACGGCUAACUACGUG